AGAGUUUGAUCCUGGCUCAGAAUGAACGUUGGCGGCGUGGAUUAGGCAUGCAAGUCGAGCGAGAAUUUUAUUGUUGAAGCUUCGGCCGAUUCAAUAGAAGGAAAGCGGCAAACGGCGUAGUAAUGCGUAGGUACGUACCCUCAGGUUGGGAAUAGCCACGGGAAACUGUGGGUAAUGCCCAAUAAUAUCUGCGGAUCAAAGGUGUGAUUCCGCCUGAGGAGCGGCUUACGUGAUAUUAGCUUGUUGGUGGGGUAAUGGCCUACCAAGGCAACGAUGUCUAGGGGGUGUGAGAGCAUGGCCCCCACGACCGGAACUGAGACACUGUCCGGACACCUACGGGUGGCUGCAGUCGAGAAUCUUCCGCAAUGGGCGAAAGCCUGACGGAGCGACGCCGCGUGCGGGAUGAAGGCCCUUGGGUUGUAAACCGCUGUCAGAGGGGAUGAAAUCAUGGUUGGCUAUCCUUCCAUGUUGACAGAGCCUCAAAGGAAGCACGGGCUAAGUACGUGCCAGCAGCCGCGGUAACACGUACUGUGCGAACGUUAUUCGGAAUCACUGGGCUUAAAGGGUACGUAGGCGGUUUAUCAAGUCAGGUGUGAAAUGCCUGAGCUCAACUGAGGCACUGCGCUUGAAACUGAUAAACUAGAGUAUUCCAGAGGUGUGCGGAACUGCCAGUGGAGCGGUGAAAUGCGUUGAUAUUGG
rnacentral:rRNA from 1 species